rnacentral:rRNA from 1 species
AUUGAACGCUGGCGGAAUGCUUUACACAUGCAAGUCGAGCGGCAGCGCGGGGCAACCUGGCGGCGAGCGGCGAACGGGUGAGUAAUGCAUCGGAACAUGUCCAUGUCGUGGGGGAUAGCCCGGCGAAAGCCGGAUUAAUACCGCAUACGCCCGAGAGGGGAAAGUGGGGGACCGCAAGGCCUCACGCGAUUGGGUUGGCCGAUGUCCGAUUAGCUAGUUGGUAGGGUAAAGGCCUACCAAGGCGAUGAUCGGUAGCUGGUCUGAGAGGAUGAUCAGCCACACUGGGACUGAGACACGGCCCAGACUCCUACGGGAGGCAGCAGUGGGGAAUUUUGGACAAUGGGGGCAACCCUGAUCCAGCCAUUCCGCGUGAGUGAAGAAGGCCUUCGGGUUGUAAAGCUCUUUUGUCCGGAACGAAACGGUAGAUCUAAUACGUCUGCCUACUGACGGUACCGGAAGAAUAAGCACCGGCUAACUACGUGCCAGCCGCCGCGGUAAAAC